rnacentral:rRNA from 1 species
GACGAACCGUGCGAACGUUAUUCGGAAUCACUGGGCUUAAAGCGCGUGUAGGCGGAAGGGCACGUCCGUUGCUGAAAUCCCCCGGCUCAACCGGGGAACGGGCACGGAUACGACUCUUCUGGAGGGGCGUAGGGGGACCUGGAACUUCCGGUGGAGCGGUGAAAUGCGUUGAGAUCGGAAGGAACGCCCGUGGCGAAAGGCGAGGUCCUGGACGCCUACUGACGCUGAGACGGCGAAAGCCAGGGGAGCGAACGGG